CAGAGGAAAUGCAGAAACUGGAGAUGCCUCAGGCAGACAGGAUUUUGCCUAAUGAAAAGCCUCAGAAAUGCUUGAAGAGAAAAGUCUUGUUGAUCCUACACAGACCCCACCCCCACCCCCACUUUAUUAGGGGUAGGAACAAGCAAGACCUGAGUGCCUUGGGCAAGUAUCCUUAGGCCAGUAGUACUGCCCUUGCCCCAUGGCUGGCCCCAUUGACAAAUAAGUCCCAGACAUUUUUGCCCUGUUCAUGGCCUCCACCCAAACCCAAACUCACCCCACUCUCCAUUUUCUCUAUUUCCAGUUGGUGCUGAACCCCAGUUACCUGUUACUUAGAGCCUCACUCUUCUCCUUCAGCUCUGUAGGUCUCUCCAGCUCUCAUUCUGCUGUUUCCCUCUAAUUCAGAUUUACAGUCUCCCUUUGGGUCCUGUACUUCUCAUCUUCCCCAAUCCUGACCUGCUCCUGGAACCCUAACUCUAAGAUGGGACUUUGUGGCUGGCAACUCCCACCAGGUCUCCCACAGACCCUCAGAUCAGGAGCCUCUGAAACACAGAAAAGUAAAUUGGAACGGAAUUCAUGCUACACCAUGGUGAAGAAGAGGAACUCUAGCAAAAUCUGUAGACCGGAAAAAUGAAACGUUUCUGUACUCGGCCUGACAGGGCUCCCUGCGGACAUCAGAGGCAGCCCCCAGCGGAUGGGACAAACAUGGUGGGCAUGCACUGUAGGUUCCUGGUUUGGCCCUUCUACUGAGGUGGGAGAGCUGGAAAGUCCGCCAUUUGUACCACUUGGGUUCCAGGUGUGAGCAUCUCCGUAAUACUCGGGCACGAUAAUGUCACCUAGAACCGGCUUGAGCCCAUUCCUCCAAGACAGAAGCAUCCUGAACAACGUUUGACCACAUAUCGGAGUAUCAUGGCCUAGCCAAGUUGACACACAAAAUUAACCAUCACAUGGAAUUAGAAAAGUCUGAGUGCAGUUGUUAAGGUGGGCACUAAGCCAAUAUGACUGGUGUCCUUAUGAAAGGGGAGAUUUGGAUACAGAGACAGAAACACACACAGGGAGAAGCACACCAUGUCUUCGAUGAAGGUUGAGACCAGGGUGAGGACAGCAAACCACCAGGAGCUAGGAGAGAGGUGUGCCCAGAUUCUCCGCACAGCCUUGAAAAAGAAUCAACACCACCAACACCUUGAUCUCAGACCUCAAGCCUCAAGAACUAUGGGACAAUAAAUUUCUGUUGUUUAAGCCAUCCAGCUUGUGGCACUUUGUUCAGUCUAGUGAACGAAUAUAGCUUUCCAUAAUCCAAACAGUACAGAAACAGAGAACAAGACACCAAACUCCUGGGCUCCAGAAGGCAUUAGCCGGGCAUAGACAGAAGAAAAAUCUGAAAGAAGAUGUGAGCAGGCAGCGCCCAUUUCUACCUGCCUGCUCUCCACCCACAUCCUCCCUGGUUUCUGGACUAACAGAUAAAGCCCUCAGGCUGAGUGGAGAGAGGGGAGUUGAAGAGGGAGUAAGAGAGUUGGAUGCAAUGUGGAAGGCGUACAUCCUCCCUAUCCCCUGACAAUAGCCAACUCACAGGGGCGGGAGUGUCUGGGGAGCACCUUUAAAUGUGAGGAUAAACUCCAGGGAGACUACAUCUGAUCCAUUGUUGUGUGUCAGCAGUGGGUAGAAAUGACGGCAUCGCACAUGGGGCCAGAGGCUAUCCUGAGUUUUCCAUAUCCCUAAAGGGGUGUGUCAGCCAUUAGAAAACAUCCAAGGCUCCUGAGUGAGGACACACAGAAGAUGCUUGGGAGACAGCAAGCCUGUGAGGCCUGGAGACCAGGAUGAAGGGACCCUAUGUGGGGAAGGUACAGCUCACGGUCAGGACUGCAGGAAGCCUGGGAGGACGCCAUGGAGACCUGCAGGUCUCUGAGGCAAGGUGAUGGUGUGUCGGAAGCAGCAGGCCAGCAGAGCACCAAGAAGGGGGUGCCCUCUCCCCAUGCCCUCACCCAGCCCUCAACACUGUGUGGGCAAGUGGGAAUUCAGCCGGACAUCAGUGUCAACCUCAGAGAUACAAGGAAAGAGGGCGAAGAAAAUCUGAACUGUAACUCAGUUCUAAAUCCAGAUGCCCGGGAAGUUGCUGGAUCUGACUAGGUUUACCUGAAAAUAGCGAAUUUGAGUUUUCCGCAAUGGUUUGAGAAAGCUCAAGAUGAAAAGUAAGGCCAGAAACAGGAAAAAUAAAGUUAUCGUUUGCCCACAUAAGUCUGUGUUUUACGAAAUUAAUGCUUGUUAUAAUAGCUAUUAUUGAAUGCCAACUUUAUACCAAGAACUUUAUAGAUACCACCUCAUUUAAUUGAUAUGAUUUUAUGUGUAUUACUAUUCACAUUAUAUAAAAUUAGAGAGAUUAAGUUACCUGACUGAAGUCACCCUCCUAAUCAUCAGUGCAGCUAAGAUUUGUGUCUAUACCUAUACAACUCUAAAACAUAUUCUCGGGAUUGGUGGGAAGUCUUUGCCUAGUACAGUAUUUGCCCCACUGAAUUUUAAGCCACAUGUCAAGAGCAUAGCCCUGGGCUUCCUUGCAGAGGAUGGACUCAGACACCUUCCUGGGUCUUUCCUUCCCCAGGUGGAUGGUGUUUGCAUCAUUACUUUCAUUACUUUGCUUUCUCACUGUCAUUUCUAUAGUCUUGGCUUCACUUUCUCCUUCAUCAGUCUAUUCAGCUCUCUCUGGCUGGAAGAUUUUUCUUGGAAGAGAAGACUGAAGCACAGU